rnacentral:rRNA from 1 species
CCAGACAGCCAGGAUGUUGGCUUAGAAGCAGCCAUCAUUUAAAGAAAGCGUAAUAGCUCACUGGUCGAGUCGGCCUGCGCGGAAGAUGUAACGGGGCUAAACCAUGCACCGAAGCUGCGGCAGCGACGCUUAUGCGUUGUUGGGUAGGGGAGCGUUCUGUAAGCCUGCGAAGGUGUGCUGUGAGGCAUGCUGGAGGUAUCAGAAGUGCGAAUGCUGACAUAAGUAACGAUAAAGCGGGUGAAAAGCCCGCUCGCCGGAAGACCAAGGGUUCCUGUCCAACGUUAAUCGGGGCAGGGUGAGUCGACCCCUAAGGCGAGGCCGAAAGGCGUAGUCGAUGGGAAACAGGUUAAUAUUCCUGUACUUGGUGUUACUGCGAAGGGGGGACGGAGAAGGCUAUGUUGGCCGGGCGACGGUUGUCCCGGUUUAAGCGUGUAGGCUGGUUUUCCAGGCAAAUCCGGAAAAUCAAGGCUGAGGCGUGAUGACGAGGCACUACGGUGCUGAAGCAACAAAUGCCCUGCUUCCAGGAAAAGCCUCUAAGCAUCAGGUAACAUCAAAUCGUACCCCAAACCGACACAGGUGGUCAGGUAGAGAAUACCAAGGCGCUUGAGAGAACUCGGGUGAAGGAACUAGGCAAAAUGGUGCCGUAACUUCGGGAGAAGGCACGCUGAUAUGUAGGUGAAG